UUGUGCAAUGGUGGCACUACAAUUCAGAAUUAUUUUCCAGAUGAGCUAUGCUAUUGUGGAGUUUACUGCCUCUAAAGAGGUUGAAAUUGUGCCAACUACUUGGGUCACCGGGAGCAUGUGCGUCUGGCCACAUAAUGUAAAAGUGGAGAAGGCUGGGAAAAUGGCACGGAAGCAGCAUCUACCACAGUCAUGGUGGAAGCUGUAUGAAAUUGCUGUGAAAGGUUUGUUUGGUAAGCGCAUUUCAGUCACCUUAAGUCUUAAGCCAGGGGUGAUUAUAUUGAUCAUAUUUUGCACUUUUUCAGUUACCUAUGAACAUGCCCGGAAAAAGCUAAAUGACAGUCAGUUCCAUUCAGACCUGGCCAGGGAAACUCAAAUGCCCCCAUUGAAGAGGCGUAGACGGCCACCAGCAGCCUGGAGCAACUCUGACAGUGAAGAGAAGGAGGAAGAAACUGCCACAAGCCAGCCAGGACUGCCAGCCAUUCUAAAUAAUUCUCCAUCUGGAAUAACCUCGAAUGAAGCAACAAGUCUGCCCACAUUUGGCCAGGGAGACAAAGGCACACCAGAGACCCAGUUGUCAGAGACAAACUCGCCACAAGGCAUGUCUGAUAACCACUCUGUUGAUGCAGGUAUGUGCCAGAUAAGCGAGGUCAAAGUUAAGUAAAUCAUUAACCAUUUACCCCAAACUACUAAUGAAUUGAAAUUGUGCUUUUCAUGUGAACAGAUAGAGCAAGAACGGCCACAAAACACACCUCAUCAUUGUUGUGCAGAGAAGAACUUCCAGCGGCAUGUACUACGACUGCUGAACACGCUUCGCUUCAUGCUAGAACAACAAGCAGACACUUUGAACAAGUUGUGCGAUAUGCUCCCUACUUCUUCAGUCACCGAAUGCGCAGAUCUCUUAGGCCAUCCAGUAAGCAGUCUUGAAGAACUACAAGAGUUUGAUGACAAGCUCGAUGCUGGAAAAUUUAAGAUCCU
rnacentral:misc_RNA from 1 species